GCGGGGUUGCCCUAGCCUGGUAGGGGGCAGGCCUGCUAAGCCUGUGGCCGAUUUCGGCCGCGCGGGUUCAAAUCCCGCACCCCGCGCCA
rnacentral:tRNA from 1 species